rnacentral:tRNA from 1 species
AGGUAUGUAGCGCAGCUUGGUAGCGCGUUUGUUUUGGGUACAAAAUAUGUCACGGGUUCAAAUCCUGUCAUCCCUA